GACGGAGGAUGCAAGCGUUAUCCGGAAUGAUUGAGCGUAAAGCGUCCGCAGGUGGCAGUUCAAGUCUGCUGUCAAAGACCGGGGCUUAACUUCGGAAAGGCAGUGGAAACUGAACAGCUAGAGUAUGGUAGGGGCAGAGGGAAUUCCUGGUGUAGCGGUGAAAUGCGUAGAGAUCAGGAAGAACAUCGGUGGCGAAGGCGCUCUGCUGGACCAUAACUGACACUCAGGGACGAAAGCUAGGGGAGCGAAUGGG
rnacentral:rRNA from 1 species